UACGUAGGGGGCAAGCGUUAUCCGGAAUCAUUGGGCGUAAAGCGUACCGAUAGGUGGUUAUACAAGUCAGAAGUGAAAUCUCCGAGCUCAACUCGGAAUCUGUCUUUUGAAACUGUAUGACUAGAGGGGCAAAGAGGAAGCUGGAACGAACGGUGUAGUAGUAAAAUGCGUUGAUAUCGUUCGGAACACCAAUAGCGUAGGCAGGCUUCUGGGUGCCACCUGACACUGCUAGGACGAAAGCGUGGGGAGCGAAUGGG
rnacentral:rRNA from 1 species